UCAGUAUUUCGAAGGGAUUUAGUCCUUC
rnacentral:piRNA from 1 species